GUACUCACGUUGGUGGUACAGACACUAAAAUUGGAACGAUACAGAGAAGAUUGGCAUGGCUCCUGCACAAGGAUGACAUGCAAAAUUGUGAAACAUUCCACAUUUUU